rnacentral:rRNA from 1 species
UACCAGCACCCCGAGUGGUCGGGACGAUUAUUGGGCCUAAAGCAUCCGUAGCCGGUCAUGCAAGUCCUCCGUUAAAUCCACCUGCUUAACAGAUGGGCUGCGGAGGAUACUACAAGGCUAGGAGGCGGAAGAGGCAAGCGGUACUCAGUGGGUAGGGGUAAAAUCCUCUGAUCCAUUGAAGACCACCAGUGGCGAAGGCGGCUUGCCAAUACGCGCUCGACGGUGAGGGAUGAAAGCUGGGGGA